CGCAAGGGGCGCACUAGGGUAAUACCGGUGACUGGGGCUAAGUCGUAACAAGGUAGCCGUACCGGAAGGUGCGGCUGGAACACCUCCUUUCUGGAGUUCGGACUUGAGAAGCAAGGAUGGUUCUUGAGAAACGAUAAGGAGAUUUUUCUGAAGGUAGUAGUCUCUAUGUAAGAGACUGGUAUCAGCCUUCGGUUUCGACUCUCGGCUUUUUUAUUAUAAAAGAAUCUUUACUGCACAGACUGCAAUAGAAGCAUCAGCUUGUUCGACGUAUGAAUAAAACGAAUAUAACCUGCGGAUAUUCUCUGUGGCGCGCCUUGGGCGCGGCGGGGGGAUGUCCGGGAGGGUUCUCUCUUAGAGCGAUAAGAGAGAGAAUAGACUUGAAAAAAACAGGAGUCUCUCCCUCCCCCGAGGCAGUCUUCGUUAUCUUUCGAUCUUUCGAUCUUUCUUCUUUCGAUCUUUCAUCUGUUAUGGAGGGGAGGCGGGAGUUAAGAACACAAGGAGGAUAAAAGAAACGAUGUGGCGGUCAGGCAGCACAUGCUGCCACAGGCAGAGGGUAGAGAGUUCGAAUAAGAGAGAAGCAGUCCUAUAGCUCAGUUGGUUAGAGCGCUACACUGAUAAUGUAGAGGUCGGCAGUUCAACUCUGCCUGGGACUACGGGGGAUUAGCUCAGCUGGCUAGAGCACCUGCUUUGCAAGCAGGGGGUCAUCGGUUCGAAUCCGAUAUUCUCCACGAAAAAAGAAGGCGAUCAUUGACAUAUUGGAAGCAAAAUAGAAUAAAGAAUUGAAGUAGAGCACAACAAGCUUAAGUAUACCGCCCGCGGCAAUUAUAUUGCCGGGCGCACAAAAGUAAGUAAGGGC
rnacentral:misc_RNA from 1 species